rnacentral:rRNA from 1 species
UACGGAGGAUGCAAGCGUUAUCCGGAAUGAUUGGGCGUAAAGCGUCCGCAGGUGGCAAUGUAAGUCUGCUGUCAAAGCGUCUGGCUCAACCAGAUAAAGGCAGUGGAAACUACAUAGCUAGAGUGAGGUAGGGGUAGAGGGAAUUCCUGGUGUAGCGGUGAAAUGCGUAGAGAUCAGGAAGAACACCGGUGGCGAAAGCGCUCUGCUGGACCUAAACUGACACUGAGGGACGAAAGCUAGGGGAGCGAAUGGG